UACGUAGGGACCAAGCGUUGUUCGGAUUUACUGGGCGUAAAGGGCGCGUAGGCGGCGUGUUAAGUCACUUGUGAAAUCUCUAAGCUUAACUUAGAACGGUCAAGUGAUACUGACGUGCUAGAGUGCAGAAGGGGCAACCGGAAUUCUUGGUGUAGCGGUGAAAUGCGUAGAUAUCAAGAGGAACACCGGUGGCGAAGGCGACCAUCCUGGACGGAUACUGACGCUGAGACGCGAAAGCGUGGGAGCAAACAGG
rnacentral:rRNA from 1 species